UACGGGGGGGGCAAGCGUUGUUCGGAAUUCCUGGGCGUAAAGGGCUCGUAGGUGGCCAACUAAGUCAGACGUGAAAUCCCUCGGCUUAACCGGGGAACUGCGUCUGAUACUGGAUGGCUUGAGUUCGGGAGAGGGAUGCGGAAUUCCAGGUGUAGCGGUGAAAUGCGUAGAUAUCUGGAGGAACACCGGUGGCGAAGGCGGCAUCCUGGACCACGACUGACGCUGAGGAGCGAAAGCCAGGGGAGCAAACGGG
rnacentral:rRNA from 1 species